rnacentral:hammerhead_ribozyme from 1 species
AUUCAGCUGAUGAGUUCAAAAUAGAACGAAACGCGUGUCCUGGAU